rnacentral:pre_miRNA from 1 species
AAGAGGAACAACCCCAGUGGCGGGGCCAGCUCUGGAGCCCUGCAUUCAGCUCCUGCAGUAACUCUGGAGCUCUCGGUCUGCAGGGCCUGGAUGCUUCGGGGCGGA